UUUAAACAUUUGUUUUUAUUCAAAUCAUUGAGUUACAAAUACAAAAAAUCAAUCAAUAUAUAUUAUUCAAUAUAUUGACUAUAGUACAUACAUACAGUUAUAAUUUGUUGUUCAGUCUUAACCCUUCAUUAAUUAUUUCCUAAUUAAAAUCCGAUUGAAACUAUAAUUACAAUGAAUUCCCCGAACCAUAAAUAACUUAUUAACUUACUAAAAUAUAGUUAUUAUUAGUGGCACGUGCUGUCAAAUGUGAAAUCCCAACUCAAUCUAAUGAAUAAUUUAUAUCUAAUAACGGAUAAAUAUAAAACUUAACAUGUACGCGUUGAAACAUUUUUCCUCCAUGCAGGUGAAGAGGAAAAAUAUAUAGGAAACCUAAAGUCUUCUAGACUAACCGUUGUUCCCCACUGGAUUGCCAUAUGUAUUCUUAUUAAACUAUUCAAGGGAAUUUAGUGCAGUUUUGCAGUACAGACAACACGUAUUAAACAAAGUUACCUGUUUUAGUAACUGCGCUUUUUUGUUUUUACGGGCAAUAGUAAUUUUUUGAAAUUACUAAGUCAAGUAUUGUGGUUGAGUGUGGUUUUUAUGUUAAAAGUAUUAACGUAUUGAAUAAUUUACAAUGAGUUUGUUAUCAAUCUAUAUCCAGAAGGAAUGAACUUGUGUACGGUACUUAUGUAGGUCCUUUUCCUGAGAAACUUAUUUUAAAAGAGUACAGAGAGUUUUUAACGCCGGCUUUUUCUCUUGGCCUACACCCUCUGUUUUCUUUGCCGAUGAGUAGGGAUGUCUACCGAUACUUAUUUAAUGACGUGGAAUAAAUAAUACCUGUAUCGUAUUCCAUAGUAAAAAAAAAUAUUUUUUAACAAGAGAAACAUUUGGUAAGCACAGAGGAGGUUGAUCUUUCAGCUUGAAUAUUAAUCAUGACGCAUUUGACAAGAAUCUUAAAAUUUUUAGUCACUUAAAAUUGAUACAUGAGGAGGGGUUUUCCUGUUAGAUUUUCCUGUUAUAAAAGGCUUGCGGCUUCUGUUUUAUCCUCAUUUUAAUUUAGUCGCGACGAAAUGAAGUAUUUUCUUAUAUUUGUUUUGCUAGCAUUAGCAUUUAAAGAUGUUUUUGGUGGCGCGUUUUUGAUUCCUGGGAUAGACCCAGCUAGUACAACAACAAAAAAGCCUUGGACUACUAAGAUUAAAAAUGGAUUGGAUACAUUCUUCCAAGGAGCCGCAGCAGCGAGUGUUUUACAACAAGCUAUUCAAAAUGGAAAAAGCUCCAAACAGCAUAAUACUGAUUCUAAAGCUCAUUAAAUAAAUAAUUAAUAUUA